rnacentral:rRNA from 1 species
CAGUAGCCGCGGUAAUACGUAGGGUGCAAGCGUUAAUCGGAAUUACUGGGCGUAAAGCGUGCGCAGGCGGCUUUGCAAGACAGAUGUGAAAUCCCCGGGCUCAACCUGGGAACUGCAUUUGUGACUGCAUGGCUAGAGUACGGUAGAGGGGGAUGGAAUUCCGCGUGUAGCAGUGAAAUGCGUAGAUAUGCGGAGGAACACCGAUGGCGAAGGCAAUCCCCUGGACCUGUACUGACGCUCAUGCACGAAAGCGUGGGGAGCAAACAGGAUUAGAUACCCCUGUAGUCCCUGUCUCUUAUAC